rnacentral:rRNA from 1 species
UAAGCAUAUCAAUAAGCGGAGGAAAAGAAACCAACAGGGAUUGCCCUAGUAACGGCGAGUGAAGCGGCAACAGCUCAAAUUUGAAAUCUGGCUCUUUCAGGGUCCGAGUUGUAAUUUGCAGAGGGCGCUUUGGCUUUGGCAGCGGUCCAAGUUCCUUGGAACAGGACGUCACAGAGGGUGAGAAUCCCGUACGUGGUCGCUAGCUAUUGCCGUGUAAAGCCCCUUCGACGAGUCGAGUUGUUUGGGAAUGCAGCUCUAAAUGGGAGGUAAAUUUCUUCUAAAGCUAAAUAUUGGCCAGAGACCGAUAGCGCACAAGUAGAGUGAUCGAAAGAUGAAAAGCACUUUGGAAAGAGAGUCAAACAGCACGUGAAAUUGUUGAAAGGGAAGCGCUUGCAGCCAGACUUGCUUGCAGUUGCUCAUCCGGGCUUUUGCCCGGUGCACUCUUCUGCAGGCAGGCCAGCAUCAGUUUGGGCGGUGGGAUAAAGGUCUCUGUCACGUACCUCUCUUCGGGGAGGCCUUAUAGGGGAGACGACAUACCACCAGCCUGGACUGAGGUCCGCGCAUCUGCUAGGAUGCUGGCGUAAUGGCUGUAAGCGGCCCGUCUUGAAACACGGACCAAGGAGUCUAACAUCUAUGCGAGUGUUUGGGUGUCAAGCCCGAGCGCGUAAUGAAAGUGAACGGAGGUGGGAACCCGCAAGGGCGCACCAUCGACCGAUCCUGAAGUUUACGGAAGGAUUUGAGUAAGAGCAUGGCUGUUGGGACCCGAAAGAUGGUGAACUAUGCUUGAAUAGGGUGAAGCCAGAGGAAACUCUGGUGGAGGCUCGCAGCGGUUCUGACGUGCAAAUCGAUCGUCAAAUUUGGGCAUAGGGGCGAAAGACUAAUCGAACUAUCUAGUAGCUGGUUCCUGCCGAA